rnacentral:rRNA from 1 species
UGAAGGCCAGGCUGAAGACUUUGUCCGGAUUAGCUGAGAGGUGGUGCAUGGCCGUCGUCAGUUCGUACUGUGAAGCAUCCUGUUAAGUCAGGCAACGAGCGAGACCCACGCCCACAGUUGCCAGCGUACUCUCUGGAGUGACGGGUACACUGUGGGGACCGCCGCUGCUAAAGCGGAGGAAGGAAUGGGCAACGGUAGGUCAGUAUGCCCCGAAUAUCCCGGGCUACACGCGAGCUACAAUGGUUGGUACAAUGGGUAUCUACCCCGAAAGGGGACGGGAAUCUCCUAAAACCAAUCUUAGUUCGGAUUGAGGGCUGCAACUCGCCCUCAUGAAGCUGGAAUCCGUAGUAAUCGCGUUUCAACAGAACGCGGUGAAUACGUCCCUGCUCCUU